CUGCAGCCAAGGAAGCGGAACAGGCUCCUUUCCAUGCAGAGGCGCAGUGUGCAGUGGCUGUAAAGAGCAACCUUGUCGAAGUGUAUGCGGCCUGUUGCUUGUACUUGUUACCCUAAGUUUAGAACUCUUGGAGACAGCC